GACCUGAUAGCGCAACCGGUAGUGCAUCUGCUCAAAAUUUGCCUUCGUCAUUGCCUAAGCAGAAGACCCCUGUUCAAUUCGGGGUCAGGUCA